AUUGAACGCUGGCGGCAGGCCUAACACAUGCAAGUCGAGCGAGCGGCGGACGGGGGAGUAUUGUCUGGGAAACUGCCUGAUGGAGGGGGAUAACUACAGGAAACGGUAGCUAAUACUGCAUACCAUCAGAUGUGCCCAGAUGGGAUUAGCUGGUGGGUGGGGUAACGGCUCACCUAGGAGACGAUCCCUAGCUGGUCUGAGAGGAUGACCAGCCACACUGGAACUGAGACACGGUCCAGACUCCUACGGGAGGAAGCAGGGGGGAAUAUUGCACAAUGGGCGCAAGCCUGAUGCGGCCAUGCCGCGGGUGUGAAGAAGGCCUUCGGGUUGUAAAGCACUUUCAGCGGGGAGGCGUUACCCGCAGAAGAAGCACCGGCUAACUCCGUGCCAGCAGCCGCGGUAAUUC
rnacentral:rRNA from 1 species